GCUAUAAUGCAAGUCGAGCGGACAGAAGGGAGCUUGCUCCCGGAUGUUAGCGGCGGACGGGUGAGUAACACGUGGGUAACCUGCCUGUAAGACUGGGAUAACUCCGGGAAACCGGAGCUAAUACCGGAUAGUUCCUUGAACCGCAUGGUUCAAGGAUGAAAGACGGUUUCGGCUGUCACUUACAGAUGGACCCGCGGCGCAUUAUCUAGUUGGUGAGGUAACUGCUC
rnacentral:rRNA from 1 species